AACUUUCAGCAACGGAUCUCUUGGCUCUCGCAUCGAUGAAGAACGCAGCGAAAUGCGAUAAGUAAUGUGAAUUGCAGAAUUCAGUGAAUCAUCGAAUCUUUGAACGCACCUUGCGCUCUUUGGUAUUCCGAGGAGCAUGCCUGUUUGAGUGUCAU
rnacentral:rRNA from 1 species